UACGAAGGGGGCUAGCGUUGCUCGGAAUCACUGGGCGUAAAGCGCACGUAGGCGGACUCUUAAGUCGGUGGUGAAAUCCUGGAGCUCAACUCCAGAACUGCCUUCGAUACUGAGAGUCUCGAGUCCGAGAGAGGUGAGUGGAACUGCGAGUGUAGAGGUGAAAUUCGUAGAUAUUCGGAGGAACACCAGUGGCGAAGGCGGCUCACUGGUCCGGUACUGACGCUGAGGUGCGAAAGCGUGGGGAGCAAACAGG
rnacentral:rRNA from 1 species